GAUGAACGCUGGCGGCGUGCCUAAUACAUGCAAGUCGAGCGAACAGAUGAAGUGCUUGCACUUCUGACGUUAGCGGCGAACGGGUGAGUAACACGUAAGGAAUCUACCUAUAAGCGGGGGAUAACAUUCGGAAACGGGUGCUAAUACCGCAUAAUAUCUUCUUCCGCAUGGAAGAAGAUUGAAAGACGGCUCUGCUGUCACUUAUAGAUGACCUUGCGGUGCAUUAGUUAGUUGGUGGGGUAACGGCCUACCAAGACGAUGAUGCAUAGCCGACCUGGGAGGGUGAUCGGCCACAUUGGGACUGAGACACGGCCCAAACUCCUACGGGAGGCAGCAGUAGGGAAUCUUCCGCAAUGGGCGAAAGCCUGACGGAGCAAUGCCGCGUGAGUGAAGAAGGCCUUCGGGUCGUAAAACUCUGUUAUAAGAGAAGAACAAAUUGUAGAGUAACUGCUACAGUCUUGACGGUAUCUUAUCAGAAAGCCACGGUUAACUACGUGCCAGCCGCCGCGGUAA
rnacentral:rRNA from 1 species